AGUUUGAUCCUGGCUCAGAUUGAACGCUGGCGGCAUGCCUUACACAUGCAAGUCGAACGGCAGCGCGGGGGCAACCCUGGCGGCGAGUGGCGAACGGGUGAGUAAUACAUCGGAACGUGUCCUGUAGUGGGGGAUAGCCCGGCGAAAGCCGGAUUAAUACCGCAUACGCUCUACGGAGGAAAGGGGGGGAUCUCAGGACCUCUCGCUACAGGGGCGGCCGAUGGCAGAUUAGCUAGUUGGUGGGGUAAAGGCCUACCAAGGCGACGAUCUGUAGCUGGUCUGAGAGGACGACCAGCCACACUGGGACUGAGACACGGCCCAGACUCCUACGGGAGGCAGCAGUGGGGAAUUUUGGACAAUGGGCGCAAGCCUGAUCCAGCAAUGCCGCGUGUGUGAAGAAGGCCUUCGGGUUGUAAAGCACUUUUGUCCGGAAAGAAAACGCCGUGGUUAAUACCCGUGGCGGAUGACGGUACCGGAAGAAUAAGCACCGGCUAACUACGUGCCAGCAGCCGCGGUAAUACGUAGGGUGCAAGCGUUAAUCGGAAUUACUGGGCGUAAAGCGUGCGCAGGCGGUCCGCUAAGACAGAUGUGAGAUCCCCGGGCUUAACCUGGGAACUGCAUUUGUGACUGGCGGGCUAGAGUAUGGCAGAGGGGGGUAGAAUUCCACGUGUAGCAGUGAAAUGCGUAGAGAUGUGGAGGAAUACCGAUGGCGAAGGCAGCCCCCUGGGCCAAUACUGACGCUCAUGCACGAAAGCGUGGGGAGCAAACAGGAUUAGAUACCCUGGUAGUCCACGCCCUAAACGAUGUCAACUAGUUGUUGGGGAUUCAUUUCCUUAGUAACGUAGCUAACGCGUGAAGUUGACCGCCUGGGGAGUACGGUCGCAAGAUUAAAACUCAAAGGAAUUGACGG
rnacentral:rRNA from 1 species